UACAAGGAGACUCAAACUAAGCAUUCUUUUUUGAAGUGCACCAUGUAUAUAAUGAGGUUUACAGAGGCGCACACGCACAGUGCUUCAGCUUGCCGUAGUGUGCAUAGCGAGCGAGGACCCAUGCAGAAUGCUAGCCCUCAUCGUGUUCCUGCGAUUGGCGACAUGUUCUUACGCCGACAAGGAAUUAUUUGUCUACCCUGCUAUACUGCAAGAGCGGACGACUACGAAAAAUUUGGUAAUGCGGCUCACUGAAGAGAUCACACUUAA